rnacentral:rRNA from 2 species
CUCUGGUAUUGAUUGGUGCUUGCAUCAUGAUUUACAUUUGAGUGAGUGGCGAACUGGUGAGUAACACGUGGGAAACCUGCCCAGAAGCGGGGGAUAACACCUGGAAACAGAUGCUAAUACCGCAUAACAACUUGGACCGCAUGGUCCGAGUUUGAAAGAUGGCUUCGGCUAUCACUUUUGGAUGGUCCCGCGGCGUAUUAGCUAGAUGGUGGGGUAACGGCUCACCAUGGCAAUGAUACGUAGCCGACCUGAGAGGGUAAUCGGCCACAUUGGGACUGAGACACGGCCCAAACUCCUACGGGAGGCAGCAGUAGGGAAUCUUCCACAAUGGACGAAAGUCUGAUGGAGCAACGCCGCGUGAGUGAAGAAGGGUUUCGGCUCGUAAAACUCUGUUGUUAAAGAAGAACAUAUCUGAGAGUAACUGUUCAGGUAUUGACGGUAUUUAACCAGAAAGCCACGGCUAACUACGUGCCAGCAGCCGCGGUAAUACGUAGGUGGCAAGCGUUGUCCGGAUUUAUUGGGCGUAAA